rnacentral:tRNA from 1 species
GGGGAUGUGGCUCAGUGGUAGAGCACUUGCCUAGCAUAGUGUUCCAAGGCCCUGUGUUCCAUCCCCA